UCCAUACAUAACUGUCCAAUACAUAAUUUGAAUACAAUUUUAAAGUAUCAUCUUACAAAAAUAUGAAUGUUGCAUUUCAAUCUGAUUAACGCACAUAUUGGAUUAUGAAGAGAUUAGAACCUUUUAGUUCCAGUUUUAUGUGAAAAGAUAUGGUUCUGAGAUUAUGUUGGAAGAUUCAUGCUAAUCUGUGUUGGCAAACAAACAACUUUCAAAAAUAAAGUAUAUAUCAGGCCCGUUUAGUAUGAAUUACCCAAUAAUAGGCAUUGAGUAGUUGGAAGGUAUGUUCUAAAAACUGAUAUUAGGGUUGAAAUUAUAUUAAUAUUAAUAAUAUUAGGUGCUGUAAUGUUCUUUUGUCAACCACUAUGGAGUUUUCCAAAGUAAUUAAUAAACAAAUGUACCUAUUUUUGGUAUGAAAUAAGUGUGCAAGACCUGCGUUGUAUGUACGUCCAAGUUAAACUCUAGGAGUCGACCGUGCGAAAGAUCCAAAAACGGCUCCUUAGGAGGACAAAAUAUGUGCCAACUGUUUAAAGGUUGUCCUGCCAAAGUUCAGUCAUUUUCCUCAGAAUGACUCUAUAUUUAUAUUAUCUCCCGUGUUCAUCGAUUUGUGCCUGUGAUGUUUGUCUGUAAAUAAAGUACAACAAAAUAGAGCACUGGCUGGAGAUUUUAUAAUAUCAGAACUUUUUUCCUUAUUCUGUUUAUUCUCUCUUCCAUUUUAGGUGUGAAUGAAGUUUUGGUAAACCCCCCCCCUCCUCAUCCUGGACCCAUCUGCUCUACCAGCUCUUUUCUGCACAUCAGUCAAAGCCUUUCACAGCUGCUGUCCAUGAUAUUCUGUAUAUAUUUCUAUUCUCUAAUAGAACUACAACACCUGUUUCACCCUGAGGAUGAGCUCAUCUUAAUGCUGUAUUUAUACCUCAUGCAUUCUUUUUGUGGAAAGACACAUCCUUUUUUGCUGAUCUUUAAGCAAAUAUUCCUUUCUCUAAAAACAGUGCUUUCUGUGUUUAUUCUGGUUAAAACUCCUGGCUUAAAUCCUUUCAGGCAACCCACAGAUUUUUCUCCAAAAAUGUGUAUGUAUAUUAUAAAGAGAAUUUGAUCAGGCCACAUGACAUUCCUCAGUGUAUUUUUGAUUUAAAGUUUAAGUCUUAGAUUUAAAGUAACAUGCUUCCCCUAGUGAAAAAUAAAUAUAAUUAAAUGUAUUUGAAAUGCAUUUAUUUCAUGCCAAGUAUACUACAAACACAUUUACAUAUUUAUAAACGUUAUAAUACCCUGCAGUUGCACCUUUAGUAUAAUAAAGUCUGCUAAAUUGGAACAACUAAUUUUGUACUAACGCACUGUGUGGAAGUAGUCCUGAAGUCUAACUGAAGAUAUACUUAGGUAGGCCUAUAUUUGAUUGUGCUCAAGUAGAACUAUUGCUUUAGGUACACUAUAUCGCGGAUUUAAAGAACUAUAUUAUUCAAAGAUCAUACAAUCCGCAUCAAUAGUGACAAUAAAACACAUUUUCGGCUUAAUAUGAUGAAAUGUGUGUUGUGCACAAGUACUAGUCCGAAUAAAGUUUAAUUACAAUGUUUAUAUCAGCAAGCCUUAAGUGAUGUGUCUGUAAAUAUGUUAAUAGAUUUGAACUAUACUUAGUAUGAAAUAAAUACAUUUUACUAGGGUCAAGAAAAGCGAUAUCGUCUAAAAACAAAUGAACGAGGUCCCAACACAAACCCAGAGAACAGUUUUGAUCAAGAUGACACCAACUGACCAGAUGUAGCACUUCAGAAGCUAAAACUAGGAUUGCCUCUCGACAACGUCUUCCUAUACGUUCCAUAUUUCAUUUGUAUCUAUUUGACUUUGGAUAUGUUAAAGCAAGGCGUUUUGCAACCAUUUUUAAAUGUGUUUUCGUUUGUUUAGUGUCCGUGUAUAAGUAAAGCUUCGGGGAAUGUACAUAUUCAAUCACUGUGAAAAACUGAAUUCCAUUAUGACCAAAUGUGUCACAUUUGCUCUUAUGUUUCUAUAUGCCAUCUCUUAGAAUGAGUUCUGUUCUUUUCUGGCACUUUCUAUUCUGGUUAUUUUCAGGACUGUGUGUAAAGAAAAGGGCACUCGUUGAUUUUUAAAUCAUUUCUACCCAUGAAUAAACCCUCUCUGUCUCCUUCAA